AUUAGCAGGGAAGCAAUGUCAGUUCCCAUGACAUAUGCAGCUCUUCCCUGGACAUUCUAUUAUAUCCUGGGGAAUCCUGGUAUCUUCUGUGAUGUCACUAUGUUGUGGCAACACCACCUCCCCUUGGGAAGCUUAUUCAAUGUCUUCACCAUUUACUGAUGAACAUGAUGACAUACAGAAGAGUCUAAUUCAGAAAGAGAUGGAGAGUGUAGAGAGACCAGAGAGUGACAGAAGAAAGCUGGCCUUCAGCCUCAAUGUAAAACAUCAACGAAAAAAUGGUCAAGAGAAUGGUGUCAUGACUUCAGUGCAGGAAAAGGGAAUCUUCCUGGAGGAAGUGGACUUGAGCUGAAUCUUCCAGUAAUGGGGCCCAGAAAGCUGGAGUCUCUGGGAACCAACAGAACUUCCUGCUUGUCAUGGCUCUUGAAAUUCAAGGAUUCCAGGAUAUUAAUUGUUCUGGCUCCAAAGUCAGCAACUGAAUACAUUGACCUAUGAUGAUGUGCAUAUCAACUUCACUUGGGAAGAGUGGACUUUGCUGGAUCCUUUUCAGAAGAAUCUCUACAAAGAUGUGAUGAUUGAGAUCUACAGAAACCUCACUAUUAUAGGAUACAGCUGGGAAAAUCAUAAUAUUGAAGCACAUUUUCAAAAUUCUAGAAGACAUGUAAGGGAUGAAAGAAGUCAAACUGGAGAGAAGAAACCUUUCAUAUAUACUAAAUGUCGUAAAACCAUUGUAUAUGAGGGUCAUCUUCAAAGUCAUGAAAGUGCAUCUAUGGGACAGAAAUGCUUUCAAUUUAAUUUAGUGUGUUAAAGCCUUUGCCAAACACAGUACUCUUCAAAUACAUAAAAGAGCCCAUACUGGAGAUAAAUCCUAUGAAUUAAUCAAUGUGGUAAAGCCUUUGCAUAUCACCAAACUCUUCAAAUGCAUGAAAGAACACAUACUGGACAUAAACCCUAUGAAUGUAAUCAAUGUAGUAAAGCCUUUUUAUAUCACAAACAACUUCAAAUACAUAAAAGAAGUCAUACUGGAGAGAAACCCUAUGAAUGUAAUCAGUGUGGUAAAGCCUUUGGACAAUAUGCUCAUUUUCAAAGUCAUAAAAGAACACAUACAUGAGAGAAAUCCUAUGAAUGUAAGGAAUGUGGUAAAGCCUUUGCAUGAUUUAGUCAUCGUCAAAGGCAUAAAAGAACACAUACUGGAG